rnacentral:lncRNA from 1 species
GAUAAGGCAAGGUGACAAAUACACUUAUUGGAAUACUCAAGGUUAUGAAUGUCGGACUUUCGAAGUGUUGAUAUAAUAAUGAAACGGUUGAAUGUUGAAAGGAUAAUCGGAUUGAAGUAACUUAUGCGGUAAUUCCUCAAUUUUGGCGACUUGGAGAAUCGGAGCGAGCGCGUGUUCGUGUUAUGCGAUACCAAACGCUUCCGCUAGCUUGUUCAAAUGUUUUUGAUCCAAAAUUUGUUGUAUUGGUAUUUAGUAGUAUCUUGUUGAACGAAUUGUAGAAUUGUAUCUAGUUUGUUUAUGUUUUAAACAGGGGUAUGCUCGUUUUAUGGACGGGUCAUGCCCGAUUUUUUUGUUAAAUUAUAGUUUGAUAAUAUCACAUUUAGGAAGGUGAAAUUUUGG